GCAAGUCGAACGAGGCCCUUUUGGUUUACUAGAAGGUGUCCUAGUGGCAGACGGGUGAGUAACGCGUGAGCAAUGUGCCUUUUUUCUGGGGAUACCGUUUGGAAACGAACGUUAAUACCGAAUGUGGUCAUCGCGGGGCAUCUCGUGGUGAUUAAACUGUUAGGGAGAGAAGAGCAGCUCGCGUACUAUCAGCUAGAUGGUGGGGUAACGGCCUACCAUGGCGACGACGGUUAACUGGUCUGAGAGGAUGAUC
rnacentral:rRNA from 1 species